GUGGGGAAUUUUGGACAAUGGGCGCAAGCCUGAUCCAGCCAUUCCGCGUGCAGGAUGAAGGCCUUCGGGUUGUAAACUGCUUUUGUACGGAACGAAAAGGUUCUCUCUAAUACAGGGGGCUGAUGACGGUACCGUAAGAAUAAGCACCGGCUAACUACGUGCCAGCAGCCGCGGUAAUACGUAGGGUGCAAGCGUUAAUCGGAAUUACUGGGCGUAAAGCGUGCGCAGGCGGUGAUGUAAGACAGAUGUGAAAUCCCCGGGCUCAACCUGGGAACUGCAUUUGUGACCGCAUUGCUGGAGUGCGGCAGAGGGGGAUGGAAUUCCGCGUGUAGCAGUGAAAUGCGUAGAUAUGCGGAGGAACACCGAUGGCGAAGGCAAUCCCCUGGGCCUGCACUGACGCUCAUGCACGAAAGCGUGGGGAGCAAACAGGAUUAGAUACCCUAGUAGUCC
rnacentral:rRNA from 1 species